UGAUAAAGUUAAUUUUCAAUAUAAUUUCCAAUUAACAGCUAUCUCAGGGCCCAGCCUCACAUUUUCUCUCUCUCUCCAUGUCUCAAUCCUCUUU